rnacentral:rRNA from 1 species
GGUGAGGGGAGUGAAAUAGAUCCUGAAACCGCGUACGUACAAGCAGUAGGAGCCUCUUUUAUGGGGUGACUGCGUACCUUUUGUAUAAUGGGUCAGCGAGUUAUUGUCAGUAGCAAGGUUAACCGUUUAGGGGAGCCGUAGGGAAACCGAGUCUUAAUAGGGCGAAUUAGUUGCUGGUAAUAGACCCGAAACCGGGCGAUCUAGCCAUGGCCAGGUUGAAGGUGCCGUAACAGGCACUGGAGGACCGAACCCACCUAUGUUGAAAAAUGGGGGGAUGAGCUGUGGCUCGGAGUGAAAGGCUAAUCAAGCCCGGAGAUAGCUGGUUCUCCUCGAAAACUAUUUAGGUAGUGCCUCGCGUUUGACUGCUGGGGGUAGAGCACUGUGUCGGCUAGGGGGUCAUCCCGACUUACCAACCCGAUGCAAACUCCGAAUACCAGUAAGUAUUAUCGCGGGAGACAGACAGCGGGUGCUAACGUCCGUUGUCGAGAGGGCAACAACCCAGACCACCAGCUAAGGUCCCUAAUAUCAGUUAAGUGGGAAACGAUGUGGGAAGGCUUAGACAGCUAGGAGGUUGGCUUAGAAGCAGCCAUCCUUUAAAGAAAGCGUAAUAGCUCACUAGUCGAGUCGGCCUGCGCGGAAGAUAUAACGGGGCUAAACUGAUAACCGAAGCUGUGGAUGCGCAUUUAUGCGCAUGGUAGAGGAGCGUUCUGUAAGCCGUUGAAGGUGAAUCGUAAGGUUUGCUGGAGGUAUCAGAAGUGCGAAUGCUGACAUGAGUAACGAUAAGGGGGGUGAAAAACCCCCCCGCCGAAAGAUCAAGGUUUCCUGUCCAACGUUAAUCGGGACAGGGUGAGUCGGCACCUAAGGCGAGGGCGAAGGCCGUAGUCGAUGGAAAAUCGGUUAAAAUUCCGAUACCGAUUCUUACUGCGAUGGAGGGACGGAGCAGGCUAGGCUAGCACGGCGUUGGUAGUCCGUGUUUAAGCGUGUAGGUAGGGGGAUUAGGUAAAUCCGGUUCCUCGUUAAUCUGAGACGUGAUGACGAUCUCUUGGGGCAACCCUUGAGAGAAGUAGUUGAUGCCAUACUUCCAGGAAAAUCUUCUAAGCUUCAGGUAAGAAUUGACCGUACUGUAAACCGACACAGGUGAUCAGGUAGAGAAUACCAAGGCGCUUGAGAGAACUUGGGUGAAGGAACUAGGCAAAAUGGUACCGUAACUUCGGGAGAAGGUACGCUCUCUUUGGUGAUCGGACUUGCUCCGUAAGCUGAGGAGAGUCGAAGUGACCAGGUGGCUGCAACUGUUUAUUAAAAACAUAGCACUCUGCAAACUCGUGAGAGGAAGUAUAGGGUGUGACGCCUGCCCGGUGCCGGAAGGUUAAUUGAUGGGGUUAUCUUCGGAGAAGCUCUUGAUCGAAGCCCCGGUAAACGGCGGCCGUAACUAUAACGGUCCUAAGGUAGCGAAAUUCCUUGUCGGGUAAGUUCCGACCUGCACGAAUGGCGUAAUGAUGGCCACGCUGUCUCCACCCAAGACUCAGUGAAAUUGAAAUCGCUGUUAAGAUGCAGUGUACCCGCGGCUAGACGGAAAGACCCCGUGAACCUUUACUAUAGCUUCACACUGGACUUUGACCUUACUUGUGUAGGAUAGGUGGGAGACUUUGAAGCGUGAUCGCUAGAUUGCGUGGAGUCACCCUUGAAAUACCACCCUGGUAAUGUUGAGGUUCUAACUUGGCUCCUGAAACGGGAGUGAGGACAGUGUGUGGUGGGUAGUUUGACUGGGGCGGUCUCCUCCUAAAGAGUAACGGAGGAGCACGAAGGUACCCUAAGAGCGGUCGGAAAUCGCUCGUUUAGUGUAAUGGCAUAAGGGUGCUUGACUGCGAGAGUGACAACUCGAGCAGGUGCGAAAGCAGGUCAUAGUGAUCCGGUGGUUCUGAAUGGAAGGGCCAUCGCUCAACGGAUAAAAGGUACUCCGGGGAUAACAGGCUGAUACCGCCCAAGAGUUCA